rnacentral:rRNA from 1 species
GAUGAACGCUAGCGGCAGGCUUAACACAUGCAAGUCGAGGGGUAGAGGAAGCUUGCUUCCUUGAGACCGGCGCACGGGUGCGUAACGCGUAUGCAAUCUACCUUUUACAGAGGGAUAGCCCAGAGAAAUUUGGAUUAAUACCUCAUAGUAUCUUUGCCUGGCAUCGGGUGAUUAUUAAAGUUCCAACGGUAAAAGAUGAGCAUGCGUCCUAUUAGCUAGAUGGUAAGGUAACGGCUUACCAUGGCAACGAUAGGUAGGGGUCCUGAGAGGGAGAUCCCCCACACUGGUACUGAGACACGGACCAGACUCCUACGGGAGGCAGCAGUGAGGAAUAUUGGACACUGGGCGCAAGCCUGAUCCAGCCAUGCCGCGUGCAGGAAGACGGUCCUAUGGAUUGUAAACUGCUUUUGUACGGGAAGAAACACUCCCUCGUGAGGGAGCUUGACGGUACCGUAAGAAUAAGGAUCGGCUAACUCCGUGCCAGCAGCCGCCGUAACAC